UACGUAGGGUCCGAGCGUUGUCCGGAAUUAUUGGGCGUAAAGAGCUCGUAGGCGGUCUGUCGCGUCGAAUGUGAAAACCCGGGGCUCAACCCCGGGCCUGCAUUCGAUACGGGCAGACUAGAGUUCGGUAGGGGAGUCUGGAAUUCCUGGUGUAGCGGUGAAAUGCGCAGAUAUCAGGAGGAACACCGAUGGCGAAGGCAGGUCUCUGGGCCGAUAUUGACGCUGAGGAGCGAAAGCGUGGGGAGCGAACAGG
rnacentral:rRNA from 1 species